rnacentral:misc_RNA from 1 species
AGUCUUACUCUAACCUGUAAAGGAGGAGGAUGCCGAAGGCAGGGCUGAUGACUGGGGUGAAGUCGUAACAAGGUAGCCGUACCGGAAGGUGUGGCUGGAUCACCUCCUUUUAGGGAGACCAUCUGAACUUCUACCGAACCUAAAAUAUAGGUAGUAGUCAGUUAUCCCUGGUCGUUCGAGAAAUAGAUGUCAAAGCUUUCAAACUAUUAACUGGUUCGGGAAAUGGGCUAUUAGCUCAGUUGGUUAGAGCGCACCCCUGAUAAGGGUGAGGUCCCUGGUUCAAAUCCAGGAUGGCCCACCUGGCAAAAAAGUAAUGAAUUUAAAGUAAUGAUUCAUGGAUGAUUAAUCCCAGAGUCAGAGCAGGAAAAUCAAAACUAAUUAGUGGGGGUAUAGCUCAGCUGGUAGAGCGCCUGCCUUGCACGCAGGAAGUCAGCGGUUCGAGUCCGCUUACCUCCACUCUCACUAGCUAACUAUCUAACUACAACCAUAAUCAAAAAACAGAAGCUCAGAGAAAUCAGCACCUAGACUAUCCCAUGUGAAAGUCGGAAUGCUGGAGUCUAAGACUCUAGUCAGAACCUUGAAAACUGCAUAGAAAUUAAGUCAUCAUCAAGCAGGUAAGUGACCCGAGCAAUCGGAAAAUCUUACAAAGCAGACGACCAUCAAAAAAUCAAGUGGUCAAGUUACAAAGGGCUAACGGUG